GCUGGGCGUGGUGGCGUACACCUGUAGUCCCAGCUUCUCAGGAGGCUGAGGCAGGAGGAUCGCUUGAGCCCGGGAAUUUGAGGCUGCAGUGAGCCAUGAUCUCACCACUGCACUCCAGCCUGGGCGACAGCGCCAGACCCUGUCUCAA
ensembl:misc_RNA Metazoa_SRP Metazoan signal recognition particle RNA